rnacentral:rRNA from 1 species
AUCGAACGCUGGCGGCAGGCCUAAUACAUGCAAGUCGAACGAGUGGCGGACGGGUGAGUAAUGUCUGGGAAACUGCCUUAUGGAGGGGGAUAACUACUGGAAACGGUAGCUAAUACCGCAUACCAUCAGAUGUGCCCAGAUGGGAUUAGGUUGUUGGUGGGGUAACGGCUCACCAAGGCGACGAUCCCUAGCUGGUCUGAGAGGAGGACCAGCCACACUGGAACGGAGACACGGCCCAGACUCCUACGGGAGGCAGCAGUGGGGAAUAUUGCGCAAUGGGGGCAAGCCUGAUGCAGCCAUGCCGCGUGAAUGAAGAAGGCCUUCGGGUUGUAAAGUUCUUUCAGUGGGGAGGCGUUACCCGCAGAAGAAGCACCGGCUAACUCCGUGCCAGCAGCCGCGGUAAUAC